rnacentral:rRNA from 1 species
AUUGAACGCUAGCGGCAGGCUUAAUACAUGCAAGUCGAGGGGCAGCGCAGUGUAGCAAUACAUGGGCGGCGACCGGCAAACGGGUGCGGAACACGUACACAACCUUCCUAUAAGUGGGGGAUAGCCCAGAGAAAUUUGGAUUAAUACCCCGUAAGAUAACGAUGUGGCAUCAUAUUGUUAUUAAAGCUACGGCGCUUAUUGAUGGGUGUGCGGGUGAUUAGAUAGUUGGCGGGGUAAGGGCCCACCAAGUCUACGAUCAGUAGCUGAUGUGAGAGCAUGGUCAGCCACACGGGCACUGAGACACGGGCCCGACUCCUACGGGAGGCAGCAGUAAGGAAUAUUGGUCAAUGGACGCAAGUCUGAACCAGCCAUGCCGCGUGAAGGAUUAAGGUCCUCUGGAUUGUAAACUUCUUUUAUAUGGGACGAAAAAAGGGCAUUCUUGCUCGUCUGACGGUACCAUAUGAAUAAGCACCGGCUAACUCCGUGCCAGCCGCCGCCGUAAUAC